rnacentral:rRNA from 1 species
ACGCUCGACACCUACGGGAGGCAGCAGUGGGGAAUAUUGCACAAUAGGGGGAAACCCUGAUGCAGCGACGCCGCGUGGAGGAAGAAGGUCUUCGGAUUGUAAACUCCUGUUGUUGGGGAAAAAGAGGAUGGUACCCAACAAGGAAGUGACGGCUAACUACGUGCAAGCAGCCGCGGUAAUCUGAGGCGGGCUGGACAAGGC